UCAGUGGCCACGGCGGACGGUCGACGCUUGCUCGUGCUUUGAAACCAUCGAAAACGACGGAAAAGUUACCGUUAUCCACGGCACUUUACAGUGACAGUUGUAAUCCGAAUCGUCGACGCGUGGGGAAAAUAUCGCGACGCCCGCAAAGUGUCUCCGUUAAGUGUUCGAAGUGUGCGUUACCGUUCCUCGUUCGUUGGACAUUUCCAAUGGUUGCCGUCCGAGUCAGUGAUCGUGUCUCGUCGUCGGCUGUUUCUAUCGACGAAUACGCAUGAACUGGUGUAACGAGAGAACCUGGCACCCGCAGGUAGGCCUUGCCAGGAGGAUGGGGGCCCACGAUGGGGGAGUGCCAUUGCUCUAACAUCGCUAUCAUGCAGCUGUUCCAUGAGCUGAAGCAGCAGUUCCCUGCGCUCCCUGAUCACGUCGUCUCCCAGUGCAUCGCCCAGGUACAGAACAGUCACGACCGGGAGACAUGCGCGAGAAGCCUGCGCGCCACCCAAGAUUCACGACCGUCUCCGGGUGCGUUCCCGCCAGCCGCGCUCUGCGGUGUACCUCAGCACCAGCAACAACAACAACACGCGCAACAGCAACGGAUGAGUUUAGCCACGCAGCAACGUUGCUGCGCCAUGAGCCAAGCGCAACGAAUCACCUGUACGAGCAGUAACGCUCGACCACACAGGCCAGCCUCGCUGGACAUCGGCGCGUCAAGGCGCUGCCCACUCAGCUGUACACGCGCAGCCGCGAUAUCGACAUCGUCACCGAUCGCGGUUAACCCUCUCACCCCCUCCUCAGCGCCGGCUGCGUGCGCCGCGAGAGGUUUCUUCGAGGAUUGCACGGGACCAGCCGACGCGAACUGCACCAACCACGUACAGAACACGGGAAACGAGCCAGCUGGAUUCGAACUGAACGUGAACGUUGCCUGCAGUCCUGCUAGCAAUCGCGCAGACUUUCGAACGGUGCCUACGAUCGGUGGCGCCUGUAAACGAAGCGAUCUGAUCGUCGAUCCGCGGCCACAUUACGCGGAGCCAUUGUUAAACGUGGAGAACACGGGGCCGCAGAUCGAUCACACGCGAAGCUACACAUCGGUCAGCCUGACGCUGAGGCCGCCGUCCUCGGAACCGCAACCACCGAUCGACAUCAGAUCACAGGGCUCGAGCCUGACCUACUCGAGCUCCUCCCUCGAUCCACGGGGUUUUCAGAGUCGUCUGCAGAUCAGCAUCGGCGCGGGAGCCGUUGGCGGCGUAGCUGCCGCGAGGAUCAGACCGCCCAUGAGGCCCAGCAGGCCCAACAGCUUGAUACCACCGGUUCAAACUGGACCUCAGAGGCCACCAGGGCUUCCAGCAGGACCUCCUAGUCAGUUGCCGAGGCCUACGACGACUAUGAGCGCCCCCACCACACCCUCUGUACCGACGACAACGAAUGUCGUUCCUCCCAUCAGCCUUCCAACGACACCGUCAAGACCGACGACCUCGCCGCCCUCUAGCCCCGUUGGCGAACGGAUACAGGCCAAUUCCGAUCAGAAUCGAUCGCCGUUGAAUCAAGUGGCGGAGCACCAAAGGAAAUUGGUCGCUGAACAGUUAGUCAGAAAAGAAAGACUCGCCAAGGAACUGAGGGCCGAGAAAGGACGACUCGAAGCAAUGAAAAAGGAACUGCAGUCUCUCACGAGGCCAUAUGAUUCCUUAAUGCCACCGCAGGAAUUGAAGAAAAAGUUAAGAAGCGAAAUCUAUCAGCUGCAGGUUGAAUGUGACAUACUAGCGGACGAAGUGGAUCAGUGGUCAGACCCAAGGGUGCCUCUAGGUGAGACGAACGAAGAGUUUUAUCAGGAUAUUUACACCGGUCAGCCUUUACCUCCGGUGUCUGGUAGUUUUAAUCCACCACCUUUGCCGAGCCAGCCACCAGUGUGGCAACCAGAAAUAUCCGGAAAUAACAUCGACAGAGACGAACGGGACGGUCCCUCUUGGGUCUGUAGAAUGUGUACAUUUGACAAUCAUCCGUUAAUGAACAAAUGCGAACAGUGCGAUAUGCCGAGGCUGUUGGAUCAUGGAAACACAGGUACGACCGCGAAGAAACCGAUAAAGGAGCUUACGACUUUGUUAAAACGCUUUGCCGUCGACCCACCGCCCCCGCCAUCGACGGAAUAGUAAACCGACGUGUGUGCCUUAACAGCAUGUGAUUUUUCCAUGAUACAUUUACCAAAUUUAUCGACUUCUAUGCAUCAGUACUGUGACAAAGUGCACGAUCAAAGGUGAUAAUAAUUACUUCAGGAUACCUGCUCCUAAGAAUAUGUAUUAACGACCACAAAGACAAAUGACGUAAUAUAAAUAAAACAGACCCACAGCGUACUUGAUUGUAACGCAUGUCUAAUCUGUUGAUGUAUCAUACGUUACUUAAAUAUCAUUAAUAUCGCCGUGCUGUGUUGUUGUUUUCAACGGUGAAACAAGAUGAUAACCGAAAACCGUGUUUUUUAUGCAAACUGGCGAGACACAAGAUAUUCAUAUACGAGUUACACAUCAUCACAACUUUUCGCCAAGUCGAACAGUACAUAGUUGGGUGGUAUGACGUGAGCUGC